CCUACGGGUGGCAGCAGUGAGGAAUAUUGGUCAAUGGUCGGGAGACUGAACCAGCCAAGCCGCGUGAGGGAUGACGGUCCAGUGUAUUGUAAACCUCUUUUGUCAGGGAACAAAGCCGGGGACGUGUCCCCGGAUGAGUGUACCUGAAGAAAAAGCAUCGGCUAACCCCGUUCCAGCAGCCUCGGUUAUACGGAGGAUGCGAGCGUUAUCCGGGGUUUUUGGGUUUAAAGGGUGCGCAGGCGGUAGGUUAAGCCCGCGGUAAAAUUCCGGGGCUAACCCCCGGCCCGCCGUUGAAACUGGCAGUCUCGAGUGGGAGAGAAGUAUGCGGAAUGCGUGGUGUAGCGGUGAAAUGCAUAGAUAUCGCGCAGAACUCCGAUUGCGAAGGCAGCAUGCCGGCUCCACACUGACGCUGAGGCACGAAAGCGUGGGGAUCGAACAGGAUUAGAUACCCGAGUAGUC
rnacentral:rRNA from 1 species